AGUGGAUGGGGAGCAACCUAGUUGUGCGUGUGUAAAGGUAGUGCCAAGAAAAGCGAUGAUCAUGUUGAAAAUCAAUUCCCGGUACCCGAAACCGACACAGGUGGGCAAGUAGAGAAUACUAAGGGGCGCGAGGUAACUCUCUCCAAGGAACUCGGCAAAGUGACCCCGUAACUUAGGGAGAAGGGGUGCCACCGAGAGGUGGUCGCAGUGAAGAGGCCCAGGCGACUGUUUAGCAAAAACAUAGGUCUCUGCAAACUCGAAAGAGGAGGUAUAGGGGCUGACGCCUGCCCAGUGCCGGAAGGUUAAAGAAGUUGGUCAGUUUUAGGAUGAAGCUAGCGACUGAAGCCCCGGUGAACGGCGGCCGUAACUAUAACGGUCCUAAGGUAGCGAAAUUCCUUGUCGGGUAAGUUCCGACCCGCACGAAAGGCGUAACGAUCUGGGCGCUGUCUCGGAGAGAGGCUCGGCGAAAUAGGAUUGUCUGUGAAGAUACGGACUACCUGCAUUUGGACAGAAAGACCCUAUGAAGCUUUACUAUAGCUUGGAAUUGUGUUCGGGCUUCCUGUGCGCAGGAUAGGUGGGAGGCGUAGAAGGUAUUCUUGUGGGGAUACUGGAGCCAACGGUGAGAUACCACUCUCAGGAGGCUAGAAUUCUAACUUAAUUAAGGACAGUUUCAGGUGGGUAGUUUGACUGGGGCGGUCGCCUCCAAAAAGGUAACGGAGGCGUACAAAGGUUCCCUCAGACUGGUUGGAAAUCAGUCGAAGAGUGCAAAGGCAGAAGGGAGCUUGACUGCGAGAAGUACAGUUCGAGCAGGGUGGAAACACGGUCUUAGUGAUCCGACGGUGCUGUGUAAGGGCCGUCGCUCAACGGAUAAAAGUUACUCUAGGAUAACAGGCUGAUCUCCCCCAAGAGUUCACAUCGACGGGGAGGUUUGGCACCUCGAUGUCGGCUCAUCGCAACCUGGGGCGGAAGUACGUCCCAAGGGUUGGGCUGUUCGCCCAUUAAAGCGGUACGUGAGCUGGGUUCAGAACGUCGUGAGACAGUUCGGUCCAUAUCCGAUGUAGGCGUGAGAAUAUUGAGAGGAGCCUUCCUUAGUACGAGAGGACCGGGAAGGACGCACCGCUGGUGUACCUGUUAUGAUGCCAAUUGUAAACGCAGGGUAGCCAAGUGCGGAGAGGAUAACCGCUGAAAGCAUCUAAGUGGGAAGCCCACCUCAAGAUGAGUAUUCUGGUGUAAGGUCACGGGAAGACGACCCGUAAAUAGGCACGAGGUGGAAGUGCAGAGAUGUAUGAAGCCGAAGUGUACUAAUAGACCGUCGGCUUGACC
rnacentral:rRNA from 1 species